ACUGCGGAGGGAUCAUUACACAAUAAACAUAUGAAGGCUGCACCGCCAACAGGCGGCAAGGCUGGAGUAUUUUAUUACCCUUGUCUUUUGCGCACUUGUUGUUUCCUGGGCGGGUUCGCCCGCCUCCAGGACCACAUGAUAAACCUUUUUUAUGCAGUUGCAAUCAGCGUCAGUACAACAAAUGUAAAUCAUUUACAACUUUCAACAACGGAUCUCUUGGUUCUGGCAUCGAUGAAGAACGCAGCGAAAUGCGAUACGUAGUGUGAAUUGCAGAAUUCAGUGAAUCAUCGAAUCUUUGAACGCACAUUGCGCCCUUUGGUAUUCCAAAGGGCAUGCCUGUUCGAGCGUCAUUUGUACCCUCAAGCUUUGCUUGGUGUUGGGCGUUUUUUGUCUUUGGUUUUGUCCAAAGACUCGCCUUAAAACGAUUGGCAGCCGGCCUACUGGUUUCGCAGCGCAGCACAUUUUUGCGCUUGCAAUCAGCAAAAGAGGACGGCACUCCAUCAAGACUCUAUAUCACUUUUGACCUCGGAUCAGGUAGGGAUACCCGCUGAACUUAAGCAUA
rnacentral:rRNA from 1 species